rnacentral:rRNA from 1 species
CCUACGGGAGGCUGCAGUCGAGAAUCAUUCACAAUGGGGGAAACCCUGAUGGUGCGACGCCGCGUGGGGGAAUGAAGGUCUUCGGAUUGUAAACCCCUGUCAUGUGGGAGCAAAUUAAAAAGAUAGUACCACAAGAGGAAGAGACGGCUAACUCUGUGCCAGCAGCCGCGGUAAUACAGAGGUCUCAAGCGUUGUUCGGAAUCACUGGGCGUAAAGGGUGCGUAGGCUGUUUCGUAAGGCGUGUGUGAAAGGCGCGGGCUCAACCCGCGGAAGGCACAUGAUACUGCGAGACUAGAGUAAUGGAGGGGGAACCGGAAUUCUCGGUGUAGCAGUGAAAUGCGUAGAUAUCGAGAGGAACACUCGUGGCGAAGGCGGGUUCCUGGACAUUAACUGACGCUGAUGCACGAAAGCGUGGGGAGCAAACAGGAUUAGAUACCCGUGUAGUC